CACGGGACUUCGGCCUGGUGGCGAGUGGCGAACGGGUGAGUAAUAUAUCGGAACGUACCCAAGAGUGGGGGAUAACGUAGCGAAAGUUACGCUAAUACCGCAUACGAUCUAUGGAUGAAAGCAGGGGACCGCAAGGCCUUGUGCUCCUGGAGCGGCCGAUAUCUGAUUAGCUAGUUGGUGAGGUAAAGGCUCACCAAGGCGACGAUCAGUAGCUGGUCUGAGAGGACGACCAGCCACACUGGAACUGAGACACGGUCCAGACUCCUACGGGAGGCAGCAGUGGGGAAUUUUGGACAAUGGGCGCAAGCCUGAUCCAGCAAUGCCGCGUGAGUGAAGAAGGCCUUCGGGUUGUAAAGCUCUUUUGUCAGGGAAGAAACGGUAGGGGCUAAUAUCCUUUGCUAAUGACGGUACCUGAAGAAUAAGCACCGGCUAACUACGUGCCAGCAGCCGCGGUAAUACGUAGGGUGCAAGCGUUAAUCGGAAUUACUGGGCGUAAAGCGUGCGCAGGCGGUUUUGUAAGUCUGUCGUGAAAGCCCCGGGCUCAACCUGGGAAUUGCGAUGGAGACUGCAAGGCUUGAAUCUGGCAGAGGGGGGUAGAAUUCCACGUGUAGCAGUGAAAUGCGUAGAGAUGUGGAGGAACACCGAUGGCGAAGGCAGCCCCCUGGGUCAAGAUUGACGCUCAUGCACGAAAGCGUGGGGAGCAAACAGGAUUAGAUACCCUGGUAGUCCACGCCCUAAACGAUGUCUACUAGUUGUCG
rnacentral:rRNA from 1 species